GCCUCGAUAGCUCAGUCGGGAGAGCGUUAGACUGAAGAUCUAAAGGUCCCUGGGUUCAAUCCCGGGUCGAGGCA
rnacentral:tRNA from 1 species